UCCAAAUGCAACUUUCUGACGCUUUAUCUGAUAGAAAUAAAGCUACAGAAACUAUUUCUUCCCUACAGGAAUUAGUUGCAGAGAAAGAAUCAAAGAUUGCAGAGAUGGACGCAGCAUCAAGUGGUGAGGCAGCCAGACUUAGAGCUACUGUGGAAACUGUAAAAGGAGAGCUUGCUCACCUCAGAAAUGAAAAUG